rnacentral:rRNA from 1 species
CGAAUGCUGACAUAAGUAACGAUAAAGCGGGUGAAAAGCCCGCUCGCCGGAAGACCAAGGGUUCCUGUCCAACGUUAAUCGGGGCAGGGUGAGUCGACCCCUAAGGCGAGGCCGAAAGGCGUAGUCGAUGGGAAACAGGUUAAUAUUCCUGUACUUGGUGUUACUGCGAAGGGGGGACGGAGAAGGCUAUGUUGGCCGGGCGACGGUUGUCCCGGUUUAAGCGUGUAGGCUGGUUUUCCAGGCAAAUCCGGAAAAUCAAGGCUGAGGCGUGAUGACGAGGCACUACGGUGCUGAAGCAACAAAUGCCCUGCUUCCAGGAAAAGCCUCUAAGCAUCAGGUAACAUCAAAUCGUACCCCAAACCGACACAGGUGGUCAGGUAGAGAAUACCAAGGCGCUUGAGAGAACUCGGGUGAAGGAACUAGGCAAAAUGGUGCCGUAACUUCGGGAGAAGGCACGCUGAUAUGUAGGUGAAGUCCCUCGCGGAUGGAGCUGAAAUCAGUCGAAGAUACCAGCUGGCUGCAACUGUUUAUUAAAAACACAGCACUGUGCAAACACGAAAGUGGACGUAUACGGUGUGACGCCUGCCCGGUGCCGGAAGGUUAAUUG